rnacentral:ncRNA from 1 species
UCGAUGGCGCUUAAAAGGGAAUCGGAUGUAAAUUCCGAGCAGUACCCGCUGCUGUGAUGCCCCACUGAGGGCGCGGCAACAAGCCACUGAUACUAUGUGUAUUGGGAAGGCGUCGCGCUGAUGGGCUAAGCCAGAAGACCUGCCUGCCGAGUUA